GCGCCCCAGUCAGCUCAGGCCUGGGUUCAGUUAGUAACACUCCACAAGUUACAAUACCCUUCAUGCUCCCAACCCAACCUGAGAACAAACACUAGGAGCCCCGGUUCUUUGCAGCCCUGUGUGCCUGGUAGGAGAAAUCGCGUUAACACGCAGGAACUGUGCACCCGCCAAGGAUUUGCUUCUGCAUAGGAGCCACCAGUGUCAAAUGCUGAAAAACGCAUCCCCGCGCGGGCCAGCCGUCCCUUGUGAACUGAAGCCAGGUAUUCCCAGUAAAAUCCUCUUGCAGGUGACCUCACUGUGGCCUCUGCUCCUCACUAUCCAGCAAGCCCUUGAAGUCCAGCAGGUCUGUGUGCUGCUGUUAGGAACUCAAGUUUCCCACCUCACCAGCAAGUCCCGUGGCUACACAGCAGGCAGACCUUGCAGAGGACAGACUUGGACACCAAGCCCCUGGACACCAAGCCUGGCCUCGAACCAGGAAGAACCUGAGGAGCAGAUCAUUCUUCCCAGCUCUUGGGCAGGUCGAUCUCAGCCUCUCACCCGGGCCUUCUGCUCACUUCCGUUUCUCUCCCAGGCACAUUUUAAGUAGAUGACCUGCAGUGGGAAGCUUGGGUGAUGUUAGCCACAGGGACUCCUGACCCUGAGACAGCCACCCACCUGGAGUGGACUGCCUCAGGGUGGCCAGCGAGGCCAGGUGUCCAGAACCGCAGUUCCAGACUCACCCCAGCUGUGCCUGUGCCCUAGGUGCCUGCUGUGCCUCAGGGUGGACGGCUAUCUCAGUUGUAGCCUCCGUGGUGGGCCUGCAGUGCUAUCUAACCCAUCAGCCUCUGAUUACAGGUCCCUAAUAUUUACAGCUAGAGAUAGUUUUCCAAUACAUUUGUAGACAUAUAAAUAAAUCUAAUCAUACUGCAGGUGACAUGAUCUUUACAAUCAUGACGGAUAACCUGUCGGCAUCAAAGACACUCGUCUAUCCCAGGUAUACGGAGGUGUUCUCCUGUGCUGUGUUCUGAAGGUCUUAUUGACGUAUCCUUUAGCUGUAGAUAUGUAGUACACCACAAGUAUGUUGAGGAUGUGACUUGAGCAAGGGCGGGUUCUGCACUCUCCCUUCCAUAGACAAAUGACUAGGCUGUGUUCCUGAUUCCGCGCUCAGAUGGCGAUAGGUUUCCUGCGUCUGUUUCCACACUUCUGUCCCCGUGGCCCAUUUGUCCCUGUGCUAAUUAACGCCACCCUGGGCCAAAAACCGUCUUCACGCAGCUGUGCCCAGGAGAGCAAGGCCUCUCUUGUGUGUGGUUCUGUUGGUGCAUGGUAAUCACACAUGGUAGCAGGAUUCCUCGUGACCUAUUUGCACGUGCACAUAGUACAGUUUUGAUUGACUGAUUGUCUAGUGGCUCCCCUUCCCUGUACUCCUCCCUCCCCCAGUCCCCUUGAUCUACUUACUCUAUUGUUCUCUCUUGAAUUAUAAUUUUCUAACAUCUGUACAUUGAAAUUCCCUCUCUAUUGUGGUAUAUGUACACAUGGACAAAGCAUCAUGGGGUAGAUUUCAUUCCCUGGUACUGCUUGUUCAAGAUUGACUUAGCCUUCCUGGAUCUUUGAAUUUCCAUGAAUAAUUUAGGAUUAUCUUAUCUACUUUUACCAGAAAAGAAAAGCUGUAGUGUUGUUGACUGGGAUUAUUUAAGUCUGUAGUCCAUGAACAUGGUAUAGCUCUCCAUGUUUUACCUCUUACUCUUUCUCAGUGAUAUUAUAUGAAUUUGUGUGUAGCACAUUUCAUUUUUCAUUAUAUUUUUUCCUACUUAACGUUUUGAGGGUACUAUAAUAUUGCCAUUUAAAUUUUAGUUUGGGGUUUUUUAUUGUUUGUCUGUGUGGUUAAUUAUAGAUAAAAUAUAACUUAUUCUGUGUUUUGGCCUUCGA